UUAAAACUAAAUUAAAAACAAAAUUAUUGUUCUUCUUUUUCAAAACAACAUAUAUUUUUUCCUCAAAAAAAAAACAUAUAUUUAAUCACGUAUUACCCGCUAGGGGAAAAAGAUCAAUACCCAACUAUCUAGCUAACUACCUAACACACUAAAAAAAUUAAAAUAAAAUAAAAUAAAAACUACCUAAGAAAAUAAAAACUACCCAUGAAUUGCGUAAUACUCCUACAUUAACUAUCUAGGAAAAAACUGCCCAUGAUAUAAUAAGAACUGCAACUUCUACUUCCCACUAAAAGAACAAUAAAAGGUAAGUAAUGCAAAAUCAAAGUCAUAUCUAUGGUGUAAAUAACUAACCCAUAAACUUAUAAACUCAUGUUUGACGCCAUCAUACCUCCUUCCUUCGUGAAUUGCUAUGAAUUACCAUUGUCGAUCGUCAGUUGAGGAGAGUUAUUGGGACAAUAUUUAGAGCAAUUGACGAAGAACGAUCUAGGUUAUUUGACGAGAGUUACCAUUGUCAAUUAUUAUUGAGGAGUGCUAUUGGGACAAUAUUCGGAGCAAUUGACGAAGAAAGAUCUGGGUUAUUUGGUGAGAGGUACGAAAAUUUUAGGUACUUAUUGGCCAGGUGUUUUCGUUGUUUUGGUAAUUUGUAUUAAAGAAUAAACUAAACCUUAGUGAUUUACUUAGGCACUAAGUAGCACCUGGCGGUGAUAAUUAUCGAGCAAUAGCAUACCUACGAAUGACAGUAACCUUAGUGAUUUAAAAAUAGCCUCAUAGUUGACUUCAUUAAGUAGCACCUGGCGGUGAUAAUUAAAAAUAACCUCUUUGGCUCUUUGCCAUGACAUCCAACAAACUACCUGAUAUUAUGGUAUAUCAAAUACAAGCAAUAGAAGGACCAAGGUGCCAACAAACUGAAACAAGUAGAUGGUUUAUCCAUCAAUUGAAAAGGCAUUUUGGGAGCUGUCAAGUGGAAUCAUGUUUAUCUUAAUACACAAUCCAAUUUGGAGUUGAAGUUUGAUACGACGUACUUAACUUAAAGAUGUGGUUGAAUUACCACCGUGUCAUAUAUGUUUCCUCAUUAAAAAUUGUAAAAGUAUAAAUGUAAGAAUAUAAUACUCCUUCCGUUUUUCUAAAUUUUACUCACUUAUUAUUUAUGGGGUCGCUCUUAUAAAACUAAAAUCAUAAAACUAAAAAUAUUAGCCUGAUCGAGAUAUAUUUUUGGAUAUGAUUCAUUAUAUAUUUUCAAAAUAUUAGCUUUAGAAACCACGUAAAAUAAAACUGAGUAGAAGGAAAACAAAAUGAAGGAGGUAUA